AAGUCGUAACAAGGUCUCCGUUGGUGAACCAGCGGAGGGAUCAUUACCGAGUUUACAAACUCCCAAACCCAAUGUGAACGCUACCAAACUGUUGCCUCGGCGGGAUCUCUGCCCCGGGCGCGUCGCAGCCCCGGACCAAGGCGCCCGCCGGAGGGACCCAAAAAAGACAAACCCCUGCAUGCCCCCUCGCGGGCUUUCUCCAAGCUCUGAGCCUUUCUCGGCGCCCCCUCGCGGGGCGCUACGAAAAUGAAUCAAAACUUUCAACAACGGAUCUCUUGGUUCUG
rnacentral:misc_RNA from 1 species